UGUGGAUGUAGCUGUGGAUGUGGAUGAGGAUGUGGAUGUGACUGUGGAUAUGAGUGUAUAUGUGGAAGAGGGGGUGGAUGUCACUGUGAAUGUGGAUGUGACUCUGUAUGUGGAUGUAGCUAUGUAUGUAGAUGAGGAUGUGGAUGUGAUUGUGAGUGUGGAUGUUGCUGGAGAUGUGGAUGUGGGUACAGACAAUGACAGAGUGAGAGAAAG
rnacentral:lncRNA from 1 species